rnacentral:piRNA from 1 species
UGCUCAAGACACUCAUUUUCACAAAGAG